ensembl:lncRNA
AAGCAAUGAAAGCAUCCGCUUCCCCUUCUGGGCACAGGUGGGACUCUCUGGAAACCAUGGUGUAGAACAAUCCCUCUUGUUUAAACAACUUACAGACCUGGCCUCUUGCGAGUUUUCCAGUUAUCCCAAUUUGUUUCCAGGAGGAGACCUGAAAACGCCUUCACACGAUGGACGUUAUGAAGGAUGCUUCUACCGUUAACAUACCCAGGUGCCACGGGCAUGUGUGGAGAAUCGGCUGCGGUCCAGAAGGACAGCUGGAGGAAACCGGAUGGCCGCCUCUCUGCAGAUACCUUCCCAAGAGGAUGGAACUUCUCUGGGAUUUCAUAAACUCCUUGAGGGCUUCCCAGAUGGUGCAGCGG